rnacentral:rRNA from 1 species
UACGAAGGGGGCUAGCGUUGCUCGGAAUCACUGGGCGUAAAGCGCACGUAGGCGGCUUCUUAAGUCAGGGGUGAAAUCCUGGAGCUCAACUCCAGAACUGCCUUUGAUACUGAGGAGCUUGAGUCCGGGGGAGGUGAGUGGAACUGCGAGUGUAGAGGUGAAAUUCGUAGAUAUUCGCAAGAACACCAGUGGCGAAGGCGGCUCACUGGCCCGAUACUGACGCUGAGGCACGAAAGCGUGGGGAGCAAACAGG